ACACACAUAGAAAAAAAAGAGCCCACCCACGACACCCCACGACCACGUCCUGCUCGUCCUCCCACCUUCCCCGAUCCCCAACCACCCUGGAUCCCAUCGUCGGCGACCUCCGCCGCCGCACGCCUGGCUUCUACUCCUUCCACUCCUUGCCCGUGUCCAGCGCCCGCCGCCGGCCCUCCCAUGGCGCCACUACCGCGGCCACCCUCUUCUCCUCCCGCCCCAUCGCGUGACGCCGCCCUGGCCACUCCUCGUCGUCUCAACGAGUAGCCAUCGUUCCCCAGGACGGUUCCGACAUCCGGCGCCAUCGCCGUCCGUGGAUCCCGGCGCCAUCGCCGGCCGUGGAUCCUCGCCGCCGCCGCAAGCUCUGAUCCCGCCGGCCGCCGCCGGGAUCCCCGACUGAAGAUGAGCAACCCCGCUGCCCCCCUCACGGAGCCUCCUCCCUGUGGGGACCCACCGCCGCGGCGCUCAAACCAUUCGUAACCGCCACCUCCGGCCGUUCAACCACGGAACUCUCAGAAGUUCACCGCUUCAGUCGCACGCCCUUGCUGAUUUCCCCUCUAUCUCUUGUUGCUACAGGUAGCAGCAGGUGCAUCUCUAUCAACACAACUCUGUUCUUAUUGAAGUUCAGUUUGUUAAUUUUCUGAAGAAAAAGGUUGCUUCACUUGCACUCCUCUAUCUAGUCCUGUGUGGUGCUCUCCUCGACUCCUAGGUUAGGCACAAACUGAGAAUUGUAGGCAUCUUUUGAGUUUAAAAUGCUUGAAUCUACAGUACAGGAUUAGAUAACUUCCAGAAGAUCUGUAGUUCAUACCCCGCUGUGACAGCAGCGAGCGGUCGUAGGUCGCCUGGCCUGCUCUUGGCUUGUUCUGUUGAGAAAAGUUCAGAAAACUAACCGAACUCUUGGCAUUGUCUGGCGGUGUUUGGCUGCAUCGGCCACCAGACUGCCAACGGCAAGGAUCCAAGGUGGUGAGCUGUCGACGCUGGCACAACAACCCGACGCAAGCCGAGUCAAUUGUAGUCAACGCAAGGAGAGAUUAGUAUAGUGGUUUGUAGUGUUCAAAUCCAUACAUGGCGUUUUCUGGUGGAAUUGGUCAACAUGAAGGAGCUACGGGUUAAUACUACAAGCGCUUCACUUAAAUAGUCCUAGUUGUUUACCAACUUUUAGUCAUUCGCUUUUGCAAGAAGUGCUCAUCUUUUUCCUAUUGCAUGACUAGCUUUCGAUGGUGAUGGCUCUGAUUUUUUUGGGAGAUGUAUGAGAACAAAGGCCGGCUUCGCCAGAUUCUUCAGUUCAGCUCUAAAAAAAGGAGCAUUAUAUGUUGUUGUCCAGUUUGCUCACUUGUUGGAAUGAAAAAAAUGGCUAAAGGUCAAUAGAAAUUGUUCCUGAAGGUCAAUAGAAAGUGUUCGAGAAGGUCUAUAGUUGUAGGCGUCUCCUAGGUUCAUCCCACUAAAUCAUUCCAUGCUUGCUCCUUAUAUCUCCUGGAUGAAGAAGUACAACUACAGUACGGGAUUCAAAUCAGCACCGGGCGUCAAAAGAACAAUGGAGAUGUUGUGGUGGCGUUUGUGGAUGCGAUGGUUAUGUGUGUGUGUGUUCUUUGUGUGUGUCUUCAUGGAAAUGGGUUAAAAAAAUUCAUGUUUUGUGUAUAAAAAGGAGGAGGUUCAAAAAUAAGAAAGGUAAGAGUUCAAAAAUAUG